rnacentral:rRNA from 1 species
AGCAGCCGCGGUAAUUCCAGCUCCAAUAGCGUAUAUUAAAGUUGUUGCAGUUAAAAAGCUCGUAGUUGAAUUUCGGAAUCUGUCCAUCGGUCGGGCUUCACUGUCCGUACUGGUGUGGUGGGUUCUUACCUUCUGAAUAACCAGCAUGCCAUUCAUUUGGUGCGCUGGGGAAGCAGGACUAUUACCUUGAAAAAAUUAGAGUGCUCAAAGCAGGCUAGUGCCUGAAUACAUUAGCAUGGAAUAAUAAAAUAGGACGGCAUGGUUCUAUUUUGUUGGUUUCUAGGAUCACCGUAAUGAUUAAUAGGGAUAGUUGGGGGCAUUAGUAUUCAAUUGUCAGAGGUGAAAUUCUUGGAUUUAUUGAAGACUAACUUCUGCGAAAGCAUUUGCCAAGGAUGUUUUCAUUAAUCAAGAACGAAAGUUAGGGGAUCGAAGACGAUCAGAUACCGUCGUAGUCUUAACCAUAAACUAUGCCGACUAGGGAUCGGACGAUGUUAAUUUUUUAAUGACUCA